GACAGAGGGGGCAAGCGUUGCUCGGAAUCACUGGGCGUAAAGGGCGCGUAGGCGGCCGCCUAAGUCAGACGUGAAAUCCCUCGGCUCAACCGGGGAACUGCGUCUGAUACUGGGUGGCUUGAAUCCGGGAGAGGGAUGCGGAAUUCCAGGUGUAGCGGUGAAAUGCGUAGAUAUCUGGAGGAACACCGGUGGCGAAGGCGGCAUCCUGGACCGGCAUUGACGCUGAGGCGCGAAAGCCAGGGGAGCAAACGGG
rnacentral:rRNA from 1 species